rnacentral:rRNA from 1 species
GACGAACGCUGGCGGCGUGCUUAACACAUGCAAGUCGAACGGAAAGGCCCUGCUUUUGUGGGGUUCUCGAGUGGCGAACGGGUGAGUAACACGUGAGUAACCUGCCCUUGACUUUGGGAUAACUUCAGGAAACUGGGGCUAAUACCGGAUAGGAGCUCCUGCUGCAUGGUGGGGGUUGGAAAGUUUCGGCGGUUGGGGAUGGACUCGCGGCUUAUCAGCUUGUUGGUGGGGUAGUGGCUUACCAAGGCUUUGACGGGUAGCCGGCAUGAGAGGGUGACCGGCCACAAUGGGACUGAGAGACGGCGCAGACGCGUACGGGAGGCAGCAGGGGGGAAUAUUGCACAAUGGGCGGAAGCCUGAUGCAGCAACGCCGCGUGCGGGAUGACGGCCUUCGGGUUGUAAACCGCUUUCGCCUGUGACGAAGCGUGAGUGACGGUAAUGGGUAAAGAAGCACCGGCUAACUACGUG